rnacentral:rRNA from 1 species
GAUUGAAGGUCAAAGCAGCGUGGAUGAGGCAUGCAAGUCGAACGAAGCUUUAUGGCAACCUGGAGCUUAGUGGCGGAAGGGUUAGUAAGACAUGAAUAACCUGCCUUUUACCUGGGGAUAACGGCCGGAAACAGCCGCUAAUACCGAAUGAUGUGGCCGGAGGAAACUCUGGUUUAUCAAAGUAGGGGACUCCGAAAGGGACCUCGCGGUAAGAGAGGAGUCCAUGGGAUAUCAGCUUGUUGGUGUGGUAAAGGCGCACCAAGGCUAAGACGUCUAGGCGGGCUGAGAGGUUGACCGCCAACACUGGGACUGAGACACUGCCCAGACUCCUACGGGAGGCUGCAGUCGAGAAUCAUUCGCAAUGGGCGAAAGCCUGACGAUGCGACGCCGUGUGACUGAUGAAGGCCUUCGGGUUGUAAAAGUCUUUCGCUUGGGAACAAGGGAGGGGAAUUAAUAGUUCCCCGACUUGAGGGUACCAGGUAAAGAAGCACCGGCUAACUCCGUGCCAGCAGCUGCGGUAAUACGGAGGGUGCAAGCGUUAAUCGGAUUUAUUGGGCGUAAAGGGCGUCUAGGCGGACAGCUAAGUCAGACGUGAAAUUCCAAAGCUCAACUUUGGAGCUGCAUUUGAAACUGCUUUUCUUGAGGGUUGACGGAGAAAACGGAAUUCCACGUGUAGCGGUGAAAUGCGUAGAUAUGUGGAAGAACACCCGUGGCGAAAGCGGUUCUCUAGCUUACUACUGACGCUGAGGCGCGAAAGCUGGGGGAGCGAACAGGAUUAGAUACCCUGGUAGUCCCAGCCGUAAACGAUGUACACUUGAUGUAGUUGGACUCAACCCCGACUGUGUCGUAGCUAACGCGAUAAGUGUACCGCCUGGGGAGUACGCCCGCAAGGGUGAAACUCAAAAGAAUUGACGGGGGCCCGCACAAGCAGUGGAGCAUGUGGUUUAAUUCGAUGCAACGCGAAGAACCUUACCCAGACUUGACAUGCAGAGGCAAACACCAGAGAUGGUAUGUUCCGCAAGGACUUCUGCACAGGUGCUGCAUGGCUGUCGUCAGCUCGUGCCGUGAGGUGUUGGGUUAAGUCCCGCAACGAGCGCAACCCUUAUCAUUAGUUGCCAGCAACUCGGUUGGGAACUCUAAUGAGACUGCCUAGGUUAACUAGGAGGAAGGCGAGGAUGACGUCAAGUCCGCAUGGCCUUUAUGUCUGGGGCUACACCCGUGCUACAAUGGAUGGUACAGAAGGCAGCAAGACCGCAAGGUGGAGCAAAUCCGUAAAGCCAUUCUCAGUUCGGAUUGUAAUCUGCAACUCGAUUACAUGAAGUUGGAAUUGCUAGUAAUGACGUGUCAGCAAUAACGUCGUGAAUAAUCCCGGGCGUGCAACACCGC